UACGGAGGGAGCUAGCGUUGUUCGGAAUUACUGGGCGUAAAGCGCACGUAGGCGGCUUUGUAAGUUAGGAGUGAAAGCCCGGGGCUCAACUCCGGAAUUGCCUUUAAGACUGCAUCGCUUGAAUCCGGGAGAGGUGAGUGGAAUUCCGAGUGUAGAGGUGAAAUUCGUAGAUAUUCGGCGGAACACCAGUGGCGAAGGCGACUCACUGGCCCGAUACUGACGCUGAUGCGCGAAAGCGUGGGGAGCAAACAGG
rnacentral:rRNA from 1 species